GCUGUUAUGUGGCGUGUAAUUCACAAAUGCAAAGCCGCGGGCCUGGUCGAUGGUGUGAAACAGCGGAUUCCAUGAAAACAGCACCAGCAAAUUUGCCGGCAAUUGAUUGGCGACAAACAUUUUCCCUGAGGUAAUCAUAUUUGCGCG
rnacentral:ncRNA from 1 species